GAUGCAGCUGCAUGGGGCAAAGAGGCUAUUUUUAUGCUCAGUGCUCAGGACAGUGGGCACUAAGAAUGGUUUGUGGCCCGACAUG